rnacentral:misc_RNA from 1 species
GAUUAUGCUAUGCAAUGAAACUAUAUUCAGCUAUUUUACAUAAACAUGAUAGACCGAUAAAUUUCUUCCCUUCAUAUACAAAAUGGGAAAAUAUAUGGUGGCUAGAAAAAGGGUGUUAUAACUUGAUUCCCAACUGACUUAUAUUUGGACGGCCUUCAGAUGGAAAAAUAAUAUCAGCAUUUCGUAUAUGAGUGUUUGACGCUGCCAACUUGGAAUCUCUCGUAUGAAAAUCUGAUGAAAUGCUCCACAGAACAUCUCUAGGCAGCAUAUUUCUCCUUAACUGUGAGGAUGAUCUUAUGAUGGCGUUUGAAUUGGAGAAUGGAUGUUUGCUUGUCCUCCCCAUGCCACUUGAUAGCAACCACCGCGACCCAGCUUGUUGCUGACUUUUUGUCCCCCAAAUUUGGUCAUCAUUAAGCCCAUUAUUAAAACCUGCAACAUGAAUCUCAGUGAUCUUAAACUGAGAAACAGCCUGCCUAUGGAUUCCAGCCUCACUUUCUCUGAAAAUAAUUUCUUCUUGAAUGGAUUGCUCCUUCGGAUCAUUUUCACUGCUUGAAUUUCUUUCUGAUGCUCUGCCGGAUGUAUUUUGUUCAACAGGAGCAUAGGACCUCUCCAACUGAAUCAGAAUGAGCAUGGAGAUGCCAACCAUCUCAUAGUCACGCAGAGGAUCUCUGAGUUGAACCCUGAGAGCUAACGUCAAGUUGUUACACAGUUCCGG